rnacentral:rRNA from 1 species
CGUCUGAUUAGCUAGUUGGUGGGGUAAAGGCCUACCAAGGCGACGAUCAGUAGCCGGCCUGAGAGGGUGAACGGCCACACUGGGACUGAGACACGGCCCAGACUCCUACGGGAGGCAGCAGUGGGGAAUAUUGCGCAAUGGGGGAAACCCUGACGCAGCGACGCCGCGUGAGCGAAGAAGGCCUUAGGGUUGUAAAGCUCUGUUUUAAGGGACGAAUGCCUAGACGAGUAAUAUGCGUUUAGAAUGACGGUACCUUAAGAGGAAGCCCCGGCUAACUACGUGC